GUAGCAGGAAAUGUGUUGCUGAAUCGUCACAUUCACAACCGCUUAUAAGCGUGGUUACCAGAUACAAAAAAGGCCCGGGGAGACCGGGCCUUUUGGAGUA
rnacentral:sRNA from 1 species